AACGAACGCUGGCGGCAUGCCUAACACAUGCAAGUCGAACGAGACCUUCGGGUCUAGUGGCGCACGGGUGCGUAACGCGUGGGAACCUGCCCUUAGGUUCGGAAUAACUCCCCGAAAGGGGUGCUAAUACCGGAUAAUGUCUUCGGACCAAAGAUUUAUCGCCUUUGGAUGGGCCCGCGUUGGAUUAGCUAGUUGGUAGGGUAAAAGCCUACCAAGGCGACGAUCCAUAGCUGGUCUGAGAGGAUGAUCAGCCACACUGGGACUGAGACACGGCCCAGACCCCCACGGGGGGGAGGCGGGGGGAAAUUGGGAACAAGGGCCGAAAGCCGGACCCACAAAGCCGGGGGGGGGGAGGAGGGCUUGGGGUUUUAAAGCCUCUUUUCCCGGGAUGGAAAGGAACGGACCGGGGAAAAAAAGCCCGGCCAACCCCCG
rnacentral:rRNA from 1 species